CGAACGCUGGCGGCGCGUUUUAAGCAUGCAAGUCGAACGGUAGAAAGACUUCGGUCUUUUGAGAGUGGCGGACGGGUGAGUAACACGUAGGUGAUCUACCCUAAGGUUGGGGAUAGCCCAUGGAAACAUGGGGUAAUACCGAAUAUGCCGUAACGGUCAGACGUUACGGGAAAGGAGCUAUGGCUCCGCCUUGAGGAUGAGCCUGCGGCUGAUUAGGUAGUUGGUGGGGUAAAGGCCUACCAAGCCGACGAUCAGUAGCCGGCCUGAGAGGGUGAACGGCCACACUGGGACUGAGACACGGCCCAGACUCCUACGGGAGGCAGCAGCUAAGAAUCUUCCGCAAUGGGCGAAAGCCUGACGGAGCGACGCCGCGUGAACGAAGAAGGCCGGAAGGUUGUAAAGUUCUUUUCUCGGGGAGGAAUAAGCAUCGGAGGGAAUGCCGGUGUGAUGACGUGAACCGAGGAAUAAGCCCCGGCUAAUUCC
rnacentral:rRNA from 1 species